rnacentral:lncRNA from 1 species
AUAAGAUCGAAAGCGGAACGAUCGAAAGAAAUCUGUGGGCAGGAAAUGGGUCUGCGAUGGGCGGUUCUAUGGGUUUACUUUGUACAAUCCCGCGCUGUCUUUUCCGUGGCCAUUAAUUUAAGUCCGACACCUUAUCCAUCAAAAAAUAUAUAUUUUCGCUACAAAACAAUUUUCAUAGAACAUAAGGUGAGUACACAAACUAUCUCGAAAUCAAGUUAGCUUAGUUAUAUGCGUAGGUAAGCAAAUAGUUUCUAUCUAAUAAUGUGUAUACUGACCCAGACAGAAGCUGGCUCCGAUCAUUCGAAGGAUGGUCUACAGUCGCGUGCAGCGCUCAUGCUGCCAUUUGAAGCGUUUGGGACGUUGGUCAUCAACCGUCAAAAACAAGGAGUUAUUCAGCAUACUGGAGAGUAAAAGUUGGCCAGUUUAAUGUUUGCUGAAUGCCAAAAACAAUAUUGAUUUGUACUAGUAAUUCAUGUUUAACUGGUUGGCCAGUUUUCCUAAAGGAUCAACCGAGGUCUUCAGCAUCUCCGUGGUCAACAAUCCAGCCAUUUUUCUCCAAAUCUAACUGGUUGAGUCAGUGGUCAAAAUAUCAGUUGCUCUACAGCAGAGAGACAGCAUCAACUGGUAUGUCUGGAUUAUGGAGCUCUACUUCUGGACCUCCUGCUCUAAUUGCUAUGAAAGACUGAGCUCGACCAAA